rnacentral:rRNA from 1 species
AUUGAACGCUGGCGGCAUGCCUUACACAUGCAAGUCGAACGGCAGCACGGGAGCUUGCUCCUGGUGGCGAGUGGCGAACGGGUGAGUAAUACAUCGGAACGUACCCAGUAGUGGGGGAUAACGCACCGAAAGGUGCGCUAAUACCGCAUACGACCUAAGGGUGAAAGCGGGGGACCGCAAGGCCUCGCGCUAUUGGAGCGGCCGAUGUCGGAUUAGCUAGUUGGCGGGGUAAAGGCCCACCAAGGCGACGAUCAGUAGCUGGUCUGAGAGGACGAUCAGCCACACUGGGACUGAGUCACGUCCCAGAGUCCUACGGGAGGCAGCAGUGGGGAAUUUUGGACAAUGGGGGCAACCCUGAUCCAGCAAUGCCGCGUGUGCGAAGAAGGCCUUCGGGUUGUAAAGCACUUUUGUCAGGGAAGAAAUCUUUCAGGCUAAUACCCUUGGAAGGAUGACGGUACCUGAAGAAUAAGCACCGGCUAACUACGUGCCAGCAGCCGCCGUAA